UAUAAAAAGGAAAACCAUGAAAAUCAUUUCAGAGACCUGGAGACUAAAAUGAGAAAUGCCAGAUCAAUUGAAGCAGAGUUCCAGAGAAGAGAGUAAGAAGAACACCAAAUAGCACUACUGAGAAAAGGAUGGAAAUUUUUUCCAUAAUUGAAGAUAUGUGAUGAAGCUCCCUGUAUCAUGACAGGAUAAGUAAAAAAUAAAUCCAUACCUAGGCCCCUCAGAAUAAAAUGCAGAAUAUCAAAGACAAAGGGAAGAUACCAGAGCCACACGUGUGGAUAAGACCCGGCUGUCGAGAAAACUGCAGCAGAUGUGGAGAGCAGGUCACAGUGGAAUCAGAAUUCGAAUCUCUUCUGCUGGCCUCCAUACUUCCAGCUGCACUCCAUGCCUCCAAGCCCAGAACUAGAGAAGUAGCAGAAGGAAUAGGAAGGAGGGCACAGAUAUGAGGAUGCUCCCAAAGAACAGAAUUUGGAACUAAGAGUCAGCCUCUGUCCAGUUCAGACGGGACAAGACCGCCAACCCACCAACUGUGCCUGCUCAGGUGUCCAGUAGGUGAACUCCUGACUUUAGGGAACUAAACAUUCCACCCUCGGAUCAUGCUAAUGCCACCAUUUUGUGACCAUGCAUCCUGUGAAGAGCCAUGAAGCCUGGCUACACUUGUGCAGAUCAACAAUUACCUCACUCCUCCUUGCCUCCAACCAUCUGUCACCAUACUUUAGACAACUUUGCCAGAUUAUCCCAUAAAUAUCCCUAAUCCCCAUUUUUUGGAGAAGCAGAUUUGGGAUUUGUUCUCCUGCCUCCUCACUU